rnacentral:rRNA from 1 species
UGGGAAUCUUCCGCAAUGGGGCGAAAGCCUGACGGAGCAACGCCGCGUGAGUGAUGACGGCCUUCGGGUUGUAAAGCUCUGUGAUCGGGGACGAACGGUCCGUAAGCUAAUACCUUAUGGAAGUGACGGUACCCGAAUAGCAAGCCACGGCUAACUACGUGCCAGCAGCCGCGGUAAUACGUAGGUGGCAAGCGUUGUCCGGAAUUAUUGGGGCGUAAAGCGCGCGCAGGCGGCUUUCUAAGUCCAUCUUAAAAGUGCGGGGCUUAACCCCGUGAUGGGAUGGAAACUGGAAAGCUGGAGUAUCGGAGAGGAAAGUGGAAUUCCUAGUGUAGCGGUGAAAUGCGUAGAGAUUAGGAAGAACACCGGUGGCGAAGGCGACUUUCUGGACGACAACUGACGCUGAGGCGCGAAAGCGUGGGGAGCAAACAGG